UACGUAGGUGGCAAGCGUUGUCCGGAAUUAUUGGGCGUAAAGCGCGCGUAGGCGGCUUCGCAAGUCAGAGGUGAAAGCCCGGGGCUCAACCCCGGAACUGCCUUUGAGACUGCGUCGCUAGAAUCCGGGAGAGGUGAGUGGAAUUCCGAGUGUAGAGGUGAAAUUCGUAGAUAUUCGGAAGAACACCAGUGGCGAAGGCGGCUCACUGGACCGGUAUUGACGCUGAGGUGCGAAAGCGUGGGGAGCAAACAGG
rnacentral:rRNA from 1 species